rnacentral:rRNA from 1 species
GCUUUGCCUGCUAUCUCUUACCCAUGUCUUUUAAGUACCUUCGUUUCCUCGGCGGGUUCGCCCGCCGAUUGGACAAUUUAAACCAUUUGCAGUUGCAAUCAGCGUCUGAAAAAACUUAAUAGUUACAACUUUCAACAACGGAUCUCUUGGUUCUGGCAUCGAUGAAGAACGCAGCGAAAUGCGAUAAGUAGUGUGAAUUGCAGAAUUCAGUGAAUCAUCGAAUCUUUGAACGCACAUUGCGCCCCUUGGUAUUCCAUGGGGCAUGCCUGUUCGAGCGUCAUUUGUACCUUCAAGCUCUGCUUGGUGUUGGGUGUUUGUCUCGCCUCUGCGUGUAGACUCGCCUCAAAACAAUUGGCAGCCGGCGUAUUGAUUUCGGAGCGCAGUACAUCUCGCGCUUUGCACUCAUAACGACGACGUCCAAAAGUACAUUUUUACACUCUUGACCUCGGAUCAGGUAGGGAUACCCGCUGAACUUAAGCAUAUCAAUAAGCCGGAGGAAA